UACGUAGGUCCCGAGCGUUGUCCGGAUUUAUUGGGCGUAAAGCGAGCGCAGGUGGUUUAUUAAGUCUGGUGUAAAAGGCAGUGGCUCAACCAUUGUAUGCAUUGGAAACUGGUAGACUUGAGUGCAGGAGAGGAGAGUGGAAAUCCAUGUGUAGCGGUGAAAUGCGUAGAUAUAUGGAGGAACACCGGUGGCGAAAGCGGCUCUCUGGCCUGUAACUGACACUGAGGCUCGAAAGCGUGGGGAGCAAACAGG
rnacentral:rRNA from 1 species